CGUAGGUGGCAAGCGUUGUCCGGAAUUAUUGGGCGUAAAGCGCGCGCAGGCGGUUCCUUAAGUCUGAUGUGAAAGCCCCCGGCUCAACCGGGGAAGGUCAUUGGAAACUGGGGAACUUGAGUGCAGAAGAGAAGAGCGGAAUUCCACGUGUAGCGGUGAAAUGCGUAGAGAUGUGGAGGAACACCAGUGGCGAAGGCGGCUCUUUGGUCUGUGACUGACGCUGAGGCGCGAAAGCGUGGGGAGCAAACAGGAUUAGAUACCCUGGUAGUCCACGCUGUAAACGAUGAGUGCUAAGUGUUAGAGGGUUUCCGCCCUUUAGUGCUGCAGCUAACGCAUUAAGCACGCCGCCUGGGGAGUACGGCCGCAAGGCUG
rnacentral:rRNA from 1 species